UACGGAGGAUCCAAGCGUUAUCCGGAAUCAUUGGGUUUAAAGGGUCCGUAGGCGGCCCUGUAAGUCAGCGGUGAAAUCUCCCGGCUCAACCGGGAAAUUGCCAUUGAUACUGCAGGGCUCGAAUUGCCGGGAAGCAGCUAGAAUAUGUAGUGUAGCGGUGAAAUGCUUAGAUAUUACAUGGAAUACCGAUUGCGAAGGCAGGCUGCUACCGGCGUAUUGACGCUGAUGGACGAAAGCGUGGGUAGCGAACAGG
rnacentral:rRNA from 1 species